rnacentral:rRNA from 1 species
CCUACGGGUGGCUGCAGUGAGGAAUAUUGGUCAAUGGGCGCGAGCCUGAACCAGCCAAGUCGCGUGAGGGAAGACGGCCCUACGGGUUGUAAACCUCUUUUGUCGGGGAGCAACGGGCGCCACGUGUGGCGCCACUGAGAGUACCCGGAGAAAAAGCAUCGGCUAACGCCGUGCCAGCACCCCCGGUAAUACGGGGGAUGCGAGCGUUAUCCGGAUUUUUUGGGUUUAAAGGGUGCGUAGGCGGAGCGUUAAGUCAGUGGUCAAAUUGAGGGGCUCAACCCCUUCCCGCCAUUGAAACUGGCGCUCUUGAGUGGAAGAGAAGUAUGCGGAAUGCGUGGUGUAGCGGUGAAAUGCAUAGAUAUCACGCAGAACCCCGAUUGCGAAGGCAGCAUGCCGGCUUCCUACUGACGCUGAAGCACGAAAGCGUGGGGAUCGAACAGGAUUAGAUACCCGGGUAGUC